AACCUCUGGAGAACUCUUAAAUGAGUGCCGACGGUGCAAGGCCAUCGGGUGCAAGGCGCUGCCACGCCGCCCUCGAUCGCCGAAUCUCUCAGGCAAACGGACAGAGAUG
rnacentral:ncRNA from 1 species